CUUUAUAAUCAAAUAUGCAGAUUAUCAAUCAUGUUAGACUGAAAUAUCUAUGUUUAUUUAAGGGGUGCACAUUAUUGAAUAUUUUUAUAGCUGGUAAAAUAUAUUUCAAGCUUUGCAAGUAUAUUUAAAAUGUGAAAGUUUCCUGAAAUAAAAUAAAAUAAUAAAAUUUAACACAGAUGUUUUUAUAAUUUUUGUAAUCUCAGUUCCUGGAAUAACUUAACUUGCUAUUUUAUGUUUCUUCAACUGUUCAGGUUAAAUCAAUAGUAUUUUUUUAAACAAAAUACAACUGAAGAGAAACCUUUUGAUUAUUUGUAAAGUCAGCAAAAAAUAUAUAUAAAAUCAACUAAUUAUUUUUCAUUCACAAACUCGGCCAGUUCUUAAGAAUAUUUACCAAUGAGCAAUAUGACACCACUGUUUAUUUAAAAUUCAAGCAUAAAAUUAAACUUCAGAUAUCUAAUAUCUACUCUGACCCCACCAAUGUAAAUAAUUUGUAUCAGGUAUCAGUCACAUAUGUUAAUUUAGAGGUAGUAUUUAUUGUAGCAUUUGAAGAGAGUUGCAGAACUGCCUGUUGGUGUUUGAUUGAACUUGUAUUGCUCACCAUCUCACCACGACAUGCUGAGACUGUUUGUGUUGCUUACAGCAGUGGUCUGCUGUAAUGAAGCCUGGGGGAAAGUACUGCACACUGGAGAUACCACAGACAGCCCACAAGAUGUGACGGGGGAUGAGUUUUUCAACCAGAAUGAUGACUUCAUAGGCAAUGAGCUAUAUGACACCACUGCUCAGCCCACUGCUGAUGGCCAAGUGACUGAAACAAUAAUAGCUGACAGUUGGGAGGAUAUUUACGGCUACACCCAAAAUUAUGACAUCGGAGGCGAUAAGCAAUAUGACGGUGACGACAGUCCUACUGACGAAACUGAACCAGUAAACUAAAAUAAAUGACCAGGCUAAACCCUGCA
ensembl:lncRNA